AUUGAACGCUGGCGGCAUGCCUAACACAUGCAAGCCGAACGGCAGCAUGGUCUAGUUUACUAGACUGAUGGCGAGUGGCGGACGGGUGAGUGACGCGUAGGAAUAUACCUUAAAGAGGGGGAUAACUUGGGGAAACUCAAGCUAAUACCGCGUAAGUUCUGAGGAAGAAAGCUGGGGACCGUUUGGCCUGGCGCUUUAAGAAUAGCCUGCGUACGAUUAGCUAGUUGGUGAGGUAAGGGCUCACCAAGGCGACGAUCGUUAGCUGGUCUGAGAGGAUGGCCAGCCACACUGGGACUGAGACACGGCCCAGACUCCUACGGGAGGCAGCAGUGGGGAAUAUUGGACAAUGGGGGGAACCCUGAUCCAGCAAUGCCGCGUGUGUGAAGAAGGCCUGAGGGUUGUAAAGCACUUUCAGUGGGGAGGAGGGUUGAUUGGUUAAGAGCUGAUUAAUUGGACGUUACCCACAGAAGAAGCACCGGCUAACUCCGUGCCAGCCGCCGCAGUAA
rnacentral:rRNA from 1 species